ACUUCCAGAGUUAUUGUAAGAGCAUGAUGUGUUUCAUGAUUCAACAUUUUUAGAAAUUUCAUCACGAAAAGAAAUAGUGAGAUUUGGAAAGGAGACAAAAUAAGUCUUAAACACAUCAGACCGUUUUUGACCACUAAAGGAAUCGAUGAAGUUGCAUACAAGUGGUGAUGUCUUCAGAAUUGACUAAGGUGCAUAAUGUAUUAUAUUUCGAUGUGUUGUCACUAGGUGGCAGAUUCGUCACAUGGAGUUCCGGUGCAACUAUUGAGAAUUAAUCCGGAUUAGACUGGUUGAGGAACCAAGGACGACCUUGGAUUGGAAAAAGAAUGUAUUGAGAAUUAAGACAGUGUAAUUGGUAAAGAAUUUGUGGAGAAAUCAGUCAGUCGAGGAAGCUACAUGGGAGACAGAAGAUCAGACGAGGAAUUUGUAUUCUAGAUUGUUCUUUGACCACUAGGGGUUGUUGAUUGGUUGUUUUGAAUUUCGGGACGAAAUUCUAUUAAGGAGGGUAGGUUGUGACAUCCCGUCCCGGAAAUAUCGAAACGUACAUUUGAAAUUACAAAUUUUACCCCUAGUUCGUUAUUUUACGUGUAGUUUUGUGUUGUGUGGUGUUGUAGGACCACACACACACUCAUACACCCCGUUUCACUCUCCCGUGUUUUCCUCUCCCUCUGUCUCUUUUCUGUCACUUCUCUCUCUCUCUCUCCCAAGCUCCGUUCUUCCUCCUUCUUUCUUCAAAAACGUACGGACAACACACAAAUCACCCAAACCUUGAUGGAUCGAAGAAACUAAGGACACCAUCGAACUCGUGAAGCUCGUACGAGUGCAACCAUACCAUUUUCAGCUUGUAGAUGUGUUAGUGAGGUCCCAAGGAGCCUCGGAGUACUUCGUUGGAGAAGUUUGGACGUCGGGAUCGUCGUGUUCAAAGUUGGCCGGAGCUGUCGGGGCUUUUUCCGGCGAAACCACGGCGAGUUAGGGGUCGAGACAGAAAUUCCGGCAAAACACUAUUUCCGGCGAAACCAGUCCGGCGACGCGAGGAAGAAGACGC